rnacentral:lncRNA from 1 species
UGCAAUUGAGAUAUUUAUAAAUUACAACAUUGUCAUAAAUAUUUAACACAUAAAACAAUUAUCAAUUUAUCACAAUACUCACAUACAUACAAACAUAAUUAUUUAACAACCAUUCAUGACGAUGUAAUAACAUAAGCGAGUACCUCGCAUUAUGUUAUACACAUAAAUGAAUUCAUACACGUAUAUUUCUAGCACAAUCAAAUAUCUAAGACUCUAUACAUCGUCAUGAAAUAGAUUAAGGAUUCUUACAUAGAAACAAGUUUCUAUGGGAGUUUCUAAUCUAUAAGAUUCUCCAACUUUUGAGAGAAUCGGAGAGGAAAAACUUCAAUGAAAUACUCUAAGACCACAAUGGUCUUCUCCUCAGUUAGACGCUUCAUUCCUUUGCUCAAUUCUAUCUUCUUUGAUCCAUCCAUGCCAUUGUCCCAUCCCAAACCAAAAUCACAUUAUCUAACAGUCACUCUAAUGCAUUAAUUCCUCCUAAGCACACUGCAUGAUCAUUUCCAAAAGAUAACACAACAAUAACUUAAUUUCUAGUUCUACAUAUCAGUGCUUAUCCUUCUAUUUUUUUUAAACAAUUAAUCUCAUGUAUACCUAUAUAUAUGACACGUAUACACAUAUAUAUGAAACGUAUGGCACUAUAUGCACUUUAAUGACAAAUUUUGUUUCUUCCAUCCAAACAUGCAUAUUCUAGAAGUAAUGCAUAGGAUAAAUAUGGAUGAUAUUAUUUUCUUAUCAAACAAUAAUCUUCAAAAGUAAAAGGAAAGGAAAGGAUGCAGUAAUCUAUACAAAUAUGCAUAAACUUUAGUUGGCCUAAGUUGUGUCUCUUUCAUUCUCAUACAAAUUCACUUAAGUAUUUAAGCUUAACCAAAUCAUAUAUGGCAGGAUAAUAGACAUAUAGUAGGUGUUUUUUUAAAAAAACCUCCCUGUUUGUUUAAAAGAAAGAAUGUAAAAUAGUCUUCUUUGUUUUGAUAAACCAUAGCGGUUCUUUGUCAAAUUGUUUGUUUAGUAUCAAUCAUAAAUCAACAAUCAUUUGACACAAUUUUUUGUAAAACAAAAUUAUGAAGAAAAAUAAGUUGAACAAUCCUAGGAGUAAGGGGCACCAAGUUUUAUGCCCUAGGUCCACAUGAAGGUGGUUCUUCACAUCAGUACCAUCUCCAUUAAUACAAAGGAAUAUGUUUUUGGAAGUAUUAUCUCUACACAUUAGGUUAUGGUUUGAAAGUGUGUGUGCAUAAAAAAUUAUGUUGUGAUCUCAAUAGAAAGGAAGGACAAGGAAUUUAGGAGUAUAGAAUAAAAUAAAAUUCAACAAGGCAAAACAAACAGACUGAAAUAAAAGUUGUACCGAUGAAAAGUCUUCCCAUCCAUCCUCUAUAUUGUUUACAACAUGAGGAGAUAAGAUAACUUGUUAGGAAGUGGGUAGUGGUGGCUAUAAAGAGAGAGAGUUGAUGACACAAAAAGUUAGGGUUGUCUUUUCU